UCCUCGAUAGCGCAGUAGGCAGCGCGCGAGUCUCAUAAUCUCGAGGUCGUGAGUUUGAACCUCACUCGGGGCA
rnacentral:tRNA from 1 species